GCCGCGUGUGUGAAGAAGGCCUUCGGGUUGUAAAGCACUUUCAGUCAGGAGGAAAGGUUAGUAGUUAAUACCUGCUAGCUGUGACGUUACUGACAGAAGAAGCACCGGCUAACUCCGUGCCAGCAGCCGCGGUAAUACGGAGGGUGCGAGCGUUAAUCGGAAUUACUGGGCGUAAAGCGUACGCAGGCGGUUUGUUAAGCGAGAUGUGAAAGCCCCGGGCUCAACCUGGGAACUGCAUUUCGAACUGGCAAACUAGAGUGUGAUAGAGGGUGGUAGAAUUUCAGGUGUAGCGGUGAAAUGCGUAGAGAUCUGAAGGAAUACCGAUGGCGAAGGCAGCCACCUGGGUCAACACUGACGCUCAUGUACGAAAGCGUGGGGAGCAAACGGGAUUAGAUACCCCGGUAGUCCACGCCGUAAACGAUGUCUACUANAAGCUCGGAGCCUCG
rnacentral:rRNA from 1 species